rnacentral:rRNA from 1 species
UACGGAGGGUGCAAGCGUUGUUCGGAUUGAUUGGGCGUAAAGCGCACGUAGGCGGGUUUAUAAGUCGAAUGUGAAAGCCCCGGGCUUAACCUGGGAAUUGCAUCCGAAACUAUAAAUCUUGAAUGCUUAAGAGGUUGGUGGAAUGCCUGGUGUAGGAGUGAAAUCCGUAGAUAUCAGGUGGAAUAUCGGAGGCGAAGGCGGCCGACUGGUGAUGCAUUGACGCUGAGGUGCGAAAGUGCGGGGAGCAAAC